rnacentral:rRNA from 1 species
UACAGAGGUCUCAAGCGUUGUUCGGAUUCAUUGGGCGUAAAGGGUGCGUAGGCGGCGCGGUAAGUCGGGUGUGAAAUUUCGAGGCUUAACUUCGAAACUGCAUUCGAUACUGCGGUGCUUGAGGACUGGAGAGGAGACUGGAAUUCAUGGUGUAGCAGUGAAAUGCGUAGAGAUCAUGAGGAAGACCAGUGGCGAAGGCGGGUCUCUGGACAGUUCCUGACACUGAGACACGAAGGCCAGGGGGAGCAAACGGG